rnacentral:rRNA from 1 species
UAACGCGAAGGAACCUUACCAAAUCUUGACAUCCUUUGAAAACUCUAGAGAUAGAGCCUUCCCCUUCGGGGGACAAAGUGACAGGUGGUGCAUGGUUGUCGUCAGCUCGUGUCGUGAGAUGUUGGGUUAAGUCCCGCAACGAGCGCAACCCUUAAGCUUAGUUGCCAUCAUUAAGUUGGGCACUCUAGGUUGACUGCCGGUGACAAACCGGAGGAAGGUGGGGAUGACGUCAAAUCAUCAUGCCCCUUAUGAUUUGGGCUACACACGUGCUACAAUGGACAAUACAAAGGGCAGCUAAACCGCGAGGUCAUGCAAAUCCCAUAAAGUUGUUCUCAGUUCGGAUUGUAGUCUGCAACUCGACUACAUGAAGCUGGAAUCGCUAGUAAUCGUAGAUCAGCAUGUUAAAUGUUCCUC